CGUCUGGGCUUGCUUCACAUGCGCCCAUUUUCAGUGGUGGACGAAAAGCCAAAACAUUUCACCCCGUUGUUUUCCGCAUUGUACGAUUUCGGUGACACGGAGGUGUGUUAUGUCGAUAAAACCAUGGAUGUCAGCUAAAUUCCUUCAACUGGAGUUCAGCUGGGGAUUCUUGCUUCCCACGAGACUGGCACGAUGGACGUGUCUUUGACCAGUUGGGGAACUGUUUUUCAAGGAUGCCCAGCUCACGGAGCAUGGACGGCGACACAACGCGGCUGGCAUAUAAACAGGUUGGAAUUGCUGGCAGUUUUAUAGCUCUCCAGUAUUUCUUGAAUCUGCUGAUCGGCCGUCAUGUACUACUCAGGCAUGGAUGCGUUAGCUCACGAUUGGCCCAGGACCAGCUUAUGCUUUUCCUCCAAUUCGACUAUUCCAGCAGUGCUAUUCAGAAUUUGGCUGGACAGUGUUGAGCCACACACCCGUGGUUUGCGGAUCUGGUCAAUCUGUAGCGGGCUCUCCGUGGGAGAUUCCCCUCAGACAGGACUUACUAUCGCAAGCACGAGGGAUGACUUGGCACCCAAGGCCAGAUCUAUGGAAGCUGUUGGCGUGGCCUCUGAGCGGAGUGAGUUAAUAUGUCCCGGUUUUUCAGUUGGAACCACCGAGACUAUAAUGAAUUCUAGGGCAGUUUCUACGAGACGCUUUAUGCUUUCGAAUGGAAACUGUUUACUGCCUGAUGUGGAAUUCAUAAUUUAGAUCCAGUUUACUGCCCCGUGGCUUCAGUACUGGAGUUUCUUCAAGACUGUUUUUCUGAUGAAGUAACACCAGCCACUCUUGAAGUUUACGUGGCAGCCAUUUCAGCUAACCACGUAUAUAUAGAUGGUACUUCAGUGGGCCAUCAUCUGCUGGUCUCUUGCUUAUACAGGGUUUGCGACGGCUAAGGCCUUUCCCGCCCUGCACAAGUUCCUUCAUGGAAUUUAUUCAUUGUGUUGCAAGGUCUAUCAGAACAUCCGUUUGAGCCCUUGGAAAUAAAAAAUAAAUAAAUCAAUCCUACUUUAAAGAC
ensembl:lncRNA